AUAGAGGACCUUACAUCCCGGAAUUCAAAGGAAAGAUCCAUCUGACAUUAUGAGAUACUUCAAUUAUAUCUGCUUUGCCAUUUUGCUGUUUUUGGAUGGUGUGUCUGCCACUAUUACUUUGACCCAGCCUCCUGAAGCAUUGGUACUUCCAGGAAGAUCCAUUACUCUGACUUGCACAGUGUCAGGAUAUAAUAUCAACAACCACCAUCUUAGCUGGGUUCGUCAAUCUAAUGGCACAGAGCUUGUCUUUAUCACAUCCUUCAGGACUGGAUAUACCACAUACACCGCCGAUGAAUUUAAGGGCCGUGUUACCCCUUCCACCAGCGGUUCGACAGCACAGCUAAAGAUAGAUGCUCUAAAAGUAGAAGAUACUGCCAUCUACUACUGCGCAAGAUACACAAUGACUUAA